rnacentral:rRNA from 1 species
GAUGAACGCUGGCGGCGUGCCUAAUACAUGCAAGUCGAGCGAACGGACGAGAAGCUUGCUUCUCUGAUGUUAGCGGCGGACGGGUGAGUAACACGUGGAUAACCUACCUAUAAGACUGGGAUAACUUCGGGAAACCGGAGCUAGUACCGGAUAAUAUUUUGAACCGCAUGGUUCAAAAGUGAAAGACGGUCUUGCUGUCACUUAUAGAUGGAUCCGCGCUGCAUUAGCUAGUUGGUAAGGUAACGGCUUACCAAGGCAACGAUGCAUAGCCGACCUGAGAGGGUGUUCGGCCACACUGGAACUGAGACACGGUCCAGACUCCUACGGGAGGCAGCAGUAGGGAAUCUUCCGCAAUGGGCGAAAGCCUGACGGAGCAACGCCGCGUGAGUGAUGAAGGUCUUCGGAUCGUAAAACUCUGUUAUUAGGGAAGAACAUAUGUGUAAGUAACUGUGCACAUCUUGACGGUACCUAAUCAGAAGGCCACGGCUAACUACGUG